CCUACGGGUGGCAGCAGUGAGGAAUAUUGGUCAAUGGACGCAAGUCUGAACCAGCCAUGCCGCGUGCAGGAAGACGGCUCUAUGAGUUGUAAACUGCUUUUGUACGAGGGUAAACGCAGAUACGCGUAUCUGUCUGAAAGUAUCGUACGAAUAAGGAUCGGCUAACUCCGUGCCAGCAGCCGCGGUAAUACGGAGGAUUCAAGCGUUAUCCGGAUUUAUUGGGUUUAAGGGGUGCGUAGGCGGUCGGAUAAGUUAGAUGUGAAAUUCCGCGGCUCAACUUCGGAAUUGCCUCUGAUACUGUUCGGCUAGAGAGUAGUUGCGGUAGGCGGAAUGUGUGGUGUAGCGGUGAAAUGCUUAGAGAUCACACAGAACACCGAUUGCGAAGGCAGCUUACCAAGCUACUACUGACGUUGAGGCACGAAAGCGUGGGUAGCAAACAGGAUUAGAUACCCCUGUAGUC
rnacentral:rRNA from 1 species